UACGUAGGUGGCGAGCGUUGUCCGGAAUUACUGGGUGUAAAGGGCGUGUAGGCGGGAAGAUAAGUCAGAUGUGAAAUUCCAUGGCUCAACUGUGGGGCUGCAUCUGAAACUAUUUUUCUUGAGUGCUGGAGAGGAAAGCGGAAUUCCUAGUGUAGCGGUGAAAUGCGUAGAUAUUAGGAGGAACACCAGUGGCGAAGGCGGCUUUCUGGACAGUAACUGACGCUGAGGCGCGAAAGCGUGGGGAGCAAACAGG
rnacentral:rRNA from 1 species